UACGUAGGGUGCAAGCGUUAAUCGGAAUUACUGGGCGUAAAGCGUGCGCAGGCGGUGAUGUAAGACAGAUGUGAAAUCCCAGGGCUCAACCUUGGAACUGCAUUUGUGACUGCAUCGCUGGAGUACGGCAGAGGGGGAUGGAAUUCCGCGUGUAGCAGUGAAAUGCGUAGAUAUGCGGAGGAACACCGAUGGCGAAGGCAAUCCCCUGGGCCUGUACUGACGCUCAUGCACGAAAGCGUGGGGAGCAAACAGG
rnacentral:rRNA from 1 species